AAACAGGAUUUAGAUUACCCCUGGUAGUUCCCACGCCCUUAAAACGAUGCGAAACUAGGUGUUGGAGAAGGAGACUUUUCUUAGUACCGCAGCUAACGCGUGAAGUUCGCCGCCUGGGGGAGUACGGUCGCAAGAUUAAAACUCAAAGGAAUUGACGGGGACCCGCACAAGCGGUGGAUGAUGUGGAUUAAUUCGAUGCAACGCGAAAAACCUUACCUACCCUUGACAUGUCAGGAAGUCUGCUGAGAGGUGGAUGUGCUCGAAAGAGAACCUGAACACAGGUGCUGCAUGGCUGUCGUCAGCUCGUGUCGUGAGAUGUUGGGUUAAGUCCCGCAACGAGCGCAACCCUUGUCAUUAAUUGCCAUCAUUCAGUUGGGCACUUUAAUGAGACUGCCGGUGACAAACCGGAGGAAGGUGGGGAUGACGUCAAGUCCUCAUGGCCCUUAUGGGUAGGGCUUCACACGUCAUACAAUGGUCGGUACAGAGGGUCGCCAACCCGCGAGGGGGAGCCAAUCCCACAAAGCCGAUCGUAGUCCGGAUCGCAGUCUGCAACUCGACUGCGUGAAGUCGGAAUCGCUAGUAAUCGUGGAUCAGCAUGUCACGGUGAAUACGUUCCCGGGUCUUGUACACACCGCCCGUCACACCAUGGGAGUGGGUUCCACCAGAAGUAGGUAGUCUAACCGCAAGGGGGGCGCUUACCAACGGUGGGAUUCAUGACUGGGGUGAAGUCGUAAACAAGGUAGCCGUA
rnacentral:rRNA from 1 species